rnacentral:rRNA from 1 species
AUGAGCUCACCUGAACAAGAUGUUGAAGAGGAUGGCGAAGAACACACUUACAAGAAGAGGAGGAAGCGAGAGACUGUGAAGCAAAAAAAAUGCAUGGUGGUCAAGCUUAUAGAUGGCAGAUGGGAGGUAAUCACUUUUAUUGCGGAUCACAACCACCCACUGAUUGACAAGCCAUCGCUUUCGAAAUACCUACGUUCUCACCAAGGGAUCCCACCGGAAGAGAAAAAAAUUCUGACUCACCUUAACGACUACAACUUGAUAGCAGAAAAGAUGAUGAUGAUAAUGUCAUCAUACUACGGCUCGGAGUUAAUUAUCCCGUACACAGCUAAAGCCAUCCAUAAC